CUAUGCUGCCGAGAAAAGCCUCUAGUGAGUGUCGUGGCGGCCCGUACCCCAAACCGACUCAGGUGGUCAGGUAGAGAAUACCAAGGCGAUCGGGUGAACUGUGGUUAAGGAACUCGGCAAAUUGCCCCCGUAACUUCGGGAGAAGGGGGGCCUCCGCUGGUGAUCAGACUUGCUUUGUGAGCUGGUGGGGGUCGCAGAGGCCAGGGGGAAGCGACUGUUUACUAAAAACACAGGUCCGUGCGAAGUCGUAAGACGAUGUAUACGGACUGACGCCUGCCCGGUGCUGGAACGUUAAGGGGACCGGUUAGCGCAUCUUCGGGUGUGCGAGGCUGAGAACUUAAGCGCCAGUAAACGGCGGUGGUAACUAUAACCAUCCUAAGGUAGCGAAAUUCCUUGUCGGGUAAGUUCCGACCUGCACGAAUGGCGUAACGACUUCCCCGCUGUCUCAACCGCAGACCCGGCGAAAUUGCACUACGAGUAAAGAUGCUCGUUACGCGCAGCAGGACGGAAAGACCCCGGGACCUUCACUACAGCUUGACAUUGGCGUUUGGAACGUCUUGUGUAGGAUAGGUGGGAGACUGUGAAGCUGUCACGCUAGUGGCGGUGGAGUCAUUGGUGAAAUACCACUCUGGUCGUUUUGAACGUCUAACUUCGGUCCGUGAUCCGGAUCAGGGACAGUGUCUGGUGGGUAGUUUAACUGGGGCGGUUGCCUCCUAAAGAAUAACGGAGGCGCCCAAAGGUUCCCUCAGCCUGGUUGGUAAUCAGGUGUCGAGUGUAAGUGCACAAGGGAGCUUGACUGUGAGACCGACGGGUCGAGCAGGAGCGAAAGCUGGGACUAGUGAUCCGGCGGUGGCAUGUGGAAGCGCCGUCGCUCAACGGCUAAAAGGUACCCCGGGGAUAACAGGCUGAUCUUCCCCAAGAGUCCAUAUCGACGGGAUGGUUUGGCACCUCGAUGUCGGCUCGUCGCAUCCUGGGGCUGGAGUAGGUCCCAAGGGUUGGGCUGUUCGCCCAUUAAAGCGGUACGCGAGCUGGGUUUAGAACGUCGCGAGACAGUUCGGUCCCUAUCCGCUGCGCGCGCAGGAGACUUGAAAGGAGCUGUCCCUAGUACGAGAGGACCGGGACGGACGAACCACUGGUGUGCCAGUUGUUCCGCCAGGAGCAUGGCUGGUUGGCUACGUUCGGAAGGGAUAACCGCUGAAAGCAUCUAAGCGGGAAGCUCGCCUUGAGAUGAGGUCUCCCACCACGUGAGUGGGUAAGGCCCCCGGGAGACGACCGGGUUGAUAGGCCGGAGGUGGAAGCAUGGUAACGUGUGGAGCUGACCGGUACUAAUAGGCCGAGGACUUGACCA
rnacentral:rRNA from 1 species